UACGGGGGGGAGCAAGCGUUGUUCGGAUUUACUGGGCGUAAAGGGCGCGUAGGCGGCCACCGCAAGUCGACUGUGAAAUCUCCGGGCUUAACUCGGAAAGGUCAGCCGAUACUGCGGGGCUAGAGUGCAGAAGGGGCAACUGGAAUUCUCGGUGUAGCGGUGAAAUGCGUAGAUAUCGAGAGGAACACCAGUGGCGAAGGCGGCGAUCUGGGUAGAUACUGACGCUGAGGUGCGAAAGCGUGGGGGAGCAAACAGG
rnacentral:rRNA from 1 species